rnacentral:rRNA from 1 species
CGCUGGCGGCGUGCCUAAUACAUGCAAGUCGAGCGGACAGAAGGGAGCUUGCUCCCGGAUGUUAGCGGCGGACGGGUGAGUAACACGUGGGUAACCUGCCUGUAAGACUGGGAUAACUCCGGGAAACCGGAGCUAAUACCGGAUAGUUCCUUGAACCGCAUGGUUCAAGGAUGAAAGACGGUUUCGGCUGUCACUUACAGAUGGACCCGCGGCGCAUUAGCUAGUUGGUGGGGUAAUGGCUCACCAAGGCGACGAUGCGUAGCCGACCUGAGAGGGUGAUCGGCCACACUGGGACUGAGACACGGCCCAGACUCCUACGGGAGGCAGCAGUAGGGAAUCUUCCGCAAUGGACGAAAGUCUGACGGAGCAACGCCGCGUGAGUGAUGAAGGUUUUCGGAUCGUAAAGCUCUGUUGUUAGGGAAGAACAAGUGCGAGAGUAACUGCUCGCACCUUGACGGUACCUAACCAGAAAGCCACGGCUAACUACGUGCCAGCAGCCGCGGUAAUACGUAGGUGGCAAGCGUUGUCCGGAAUUAUUGGGCGUAAAGGGCUCGCAGGCGGUUUCUUAAGUCUGAUGUGAAAGCCCCCGGCUCAACCGGGGAGGGUCAUUGGAAACUGGGAAACUUGAGUGCAGAAGAGGAGAGUGGAAUUCCACGUGUAGCGGUGAAAUGCGUAGAGAUGUGGAGGAACACCAGUGGCGAAGGCGACUCUCUGGUCUGUAACUGACGCUGAGGAGCGAAAGCGUGGGGAGCGAACAGGAUUAGAUACCCUGGUAGUCCACGCCGUAAACGAUGAGUGCUAAGUGUUAGGGGGUUUCCGCCCCUUAGUGCUGCAGCUAACGCAUUAAGCACUCCGCCUGGGGAGUACGGUCGCAAGACUGAAACUCAAAGGAAUUGACGGGGGCCCGCACAAGCGGUGGAGCAUGUGGUUUAAUUCGAAGCAACGCGAAGAACCUUACCAGGUCUUGACAUCCUCUGACAACCCUAGAGAUAGGGCUUUCCCUUCGGGGACAGAGUGACAGGUGGUGCAUGGUUGUCGUCAGCUCGUGUCGUGAGAUGUUGGGUUAAGUCCCGCAACGAGCGCAACCCUUGAUCUUAGUUGCCAGCAUUUAGUUGGGCACUCUAAGGUGACUGCCGGUGACAAACCGGAGGAAGGUGGGGAUGACGUCAAAUCAUCAUGCCCCUUAUGACCUGGGCUACACACGUGCUACAAUGGACAGAACAAAGGGCUGCGAGACCGCAAGGUUUAGCCAAUCCCAUAAAUCUGUUCUCAGUUCGGAUCGCAGUCUGCAACUCGACUGCGUGAAGCUGGAAUCGCUAGUAAUCGCGGAUCAGCAUGCCGCGGUGAAUACG